GUAAUAGCUCACUGGUCGAGUCGGCCUGCGCGGAAGAUGUAACGGGGCUAAACCAUGCACCGAAGCUGCGGCAGCGACACUGUGUGUUGUUGGGUAGGGGAGCGUUCUGUAAGCCUGUGAAGGUGGCCUGUGAGGGUUGCUGGAGGUAUCAGAAGUGCGAAUGCUGACAUAAGUAACGAUAAAGCGGGUGAAAAGCCCGCUCGCCGGAAGACCAAGGGUUCCUGUCCAACGUUAAUCGGGGCAGGGUGAGUCGACCCCUAAGGCGAGGCCGAAAGGCGUAGUCGAUGGGAAACGGGUUAAUAUUCCCGUACUUGGUGUUACUGCGAAGGGGGGACGGAGAAGGCUAUGUUGGCCGGGCGACGGUUGUCCCGGUUUAAGCGUGUAGGUGUGUGUUCCAGGUAAAUCCGGUUCACUUUAACACUGAGGCGUGAUGACGAGGCACUACGGUGCUGAAGCAACAAAUGCCCUGCUUCCAGGAAAAGCCUCUAAGCAUCAGGUAACAUCAAAUC
rnacentral:rRNA from 1 species